UUUAAAGUGGUGUGUUAGUUGUAACAGUCGCCAGCUGUGUUGAUAACUCACUCUACGAUGCGCUGACACGGUGGAAUCUUCCAGCUGCUUACCGUCCUCCUACAAAACAGAAACCUGCUUAACACACUGAUAUCCAGCUCAACAGGAGGAUGUCUUACAAUGAGAAAAAAAAGGCGUCAAACGAGACCUGUGACCCCAGGGGGAAAUCAUGGAUCAGAUGCCUCACACCAAGUCACUGUGACAGGGACCACUGCACGCCUCGCACCAGGACACCUUUCCAGUGAUGACUCCCCUCGUGUGGAAUUAGUUCACAGCUGUUUAGUCUUAUACUUAUCCA